CUGAAGAUUCUUGCAUAGACCUCUCCUCCGCACACGGCCAGUUCCUUUAGGGGAAGUAGGCCUUCCUUAGAUAUCUGGUAACCCUUGGAUGUCCGCUCAAGGUGGCUGGUGUUCUUGCCUGGAGAAUCCUGGGGACCGAGGAGCCUGGUGGGCUGCCGUCUAUGGGGUCGCACAGAGUCGGACACAACUACAGCGACUUAGCAGCAGCAGCAGUCAUAAAUUAUUGUGGUUUUCUUUUGAGAUUUCUCUAGAGAUUAUAAUAUGCAUCCUUGAUUUAAUACAGUCCAUCCUAACCUUUGUGCUAUUAUUGUCAUGUAUUUUAUUUAUAUGUUAUAAAUCCCACAAGACAUUAUUGUUACAUGAAGCAGGCAAAAGUAUUUCAUGUUUGUCCACAUAUUUACACCUUCUGAUGCUUUCCAUUUCUUCUUUCAGUCCUGUGCUUUCAAAUGAUCGUUACCUCCCAUUGUUUCAGCAGUAUGGAUCUGCUGGUAAACAUGUCUCACUUUGAUUUUUCUGAAAUUUUCUUUAUUUUGCUUUCAUUUUUGAUGAUAUUUCAAAUGAAUGUGGAAUUCUAGGUUGACAACAUUUAAUUUUAGCACUUUGAGAAUGUUAUUCCACUAUCUUUUGGCUUCUAUAACAUGUUGAAAAGUCAACCAGUAGUCCUAUGGUUGCUCAUUUGAAGCUAAUAUAUUUUUUCCCCUGGCUGCUUUUAAAAUUUCUCUCAAUCCUUGACUAUUAGACAUUGACAAAUAUAUGUCUAUGUAUGGUUUGUUUGUUCAUUUGCUUGUUUUAGUCCUGCUUAGAAUUUGCUGAGCUUCUCUUGGAUCUGGGAGAUGAUAUCUUAUCAACUUUGGAAAGUCUUGGCCAUUAUUUCUUCAAAUAUUAUUUCUGCUUCAAUUUAUUUCUCCUUGUCUUCUAGUACUUUGUUGAAAUAUGGUAGAUCUUUUAACUUUGUUUCAUGUGUCUCUAAUGCUCUGUUUUAUUUUUAUACAGGCUUUAUACCCAUGCUUGAAUUUGCGUAUUUUCUAUUGUACUAUCUUAGAAUCUAAUAAUCUUGUCUUCUCUGUUGAGUAUGCUGCUAAAUGUGUUCUCAACUUCAGUAUUUUGCCCAUCUAGUUUUUCUUUUUUGCAUGGAACCCCUAUCUCUGUUAAUAUUCCUUAUCCUUUCAUCCAUUUUCUUGCUUUUCUUCUAUUUCCUGUAAUAUAUUCAUCAAUUAGAAUCCUUGUUUGUUAGCUUCACUAUUUGAAUUAUUUGUAGGUCUGGUUCUAUUAUUUAUCUUUUCUUGAUUAGGAUUAUCAAUCAUCUUUUGCUAUUUUUUUUUGCUUGUCUUGUAAUGUUUUGUCAGACAUUGUAAAAAGCACUGAAGAGGCUCUAGGUGAUGCCCCACACUAGAAAGGGUUUACACUUUCCCUGUGAGGCAAUACAAUGAAGAGUUUAUCUUUGAGAGCGGUAGGGGUUACUUUUGAAAGACUUUAGUCUACUUCUCAUUUUUCCCUGUUCAUCAAACAUAGUCCAUCUGGGUUUUUGAUUAGAUCCUACAGGAUCUCUGUCUUCUCAGUCCUGAGAGUGGGAAAUUUAGUGCUGUACUUUGCAGUUUUAAACUUAGCUCUUUACCUUUCUCUCCUUGCCCUGUCUCAACUUUGAAACCUAAAAGAUGUCCCAAGGGGUACCUGGUUAUGUGUUUGAAUGGGAGGACCUCUUUCUCUGGUUGGACUUUUUCUUCUUAGCACCAUGAAUCUAGAGGAGAUUGUAUUAUGCCUUUUGGAAUUCUUCUGCCAAACUUCCCAGCCUUCUUUGCAUAGUCCCUGAACUCUGAAGAUGUCCUAUGGGGAAAACCAGUUGUGUUUAGCACUUCUCAAGUUUUUAGUUUCUCUCACCAGCCCCAUGAGAUUACCAAAAACCUCUCUGGUUUCUCUUUUCUCAAAAAAAUUAAUUCUUUACAAGUCAAGUUUAAUUCUCAGUCUGUGCCCAGAAUUGUUGGAUAUCCCCAAAGAAGAAAACAAAUGUAGUUCAUAUAGCCCUCAUUGCUUCCUUGUUCCCUGAGACCCUUAAAAAUGUAACUUUUGUAAUCUAGCUGGCUCUUUCUAGUUGUAGCAAUGGGAAUUAUAGCUCUUUAUAUCCCGUGACCUACCACGUUUAACUUAGGGACAGAAGUCCCCUGAUCCUUAUGUUUUGAGGAUAAAAGCCAAUCAAUAGGUUACAACUUCAAGAAUUGAAAAGGGCCAGAACCUGCCUAUAGUAGCUGGAUUCCAGGAAGUAGAAAGUUACAUUGGUUACCCAGACUUAAACUCUUAAUUUCAGAGGACAUGAGCAAAUAUGUAGCAUGGCUCCACUUGACGUGAGGAGGAAAGUGGUCAGAAUGAAUGGUGGCUCUUGAACAGAUCAUAUAUGUUUGCAGCAAUAACCAUAGCUAGCAGUGAUCAAAAUAGACUUUAUGCACAGGUAGGAAGGGAGUCCUCUCCUCUUUUUGUGCUGGGUAUUUAAACAGGAUUAAAUGUGACUCAAAAAAUUUUAAAAACACGUACUCUAUUUCACAGAGGGAAACUACUUUUUACACUGUUAUUUCUAGUAGUACAACCAGGUAGCUGGUUAUAAAAUUGACUCAGAAUUGUGGGACUUCAAGAAAUUUUAUAAAUGCCUUAAUAAUUUUAUUUUGCUUAAAUUGUCUUUUUCAUGUGUAUACAGAUAGACGCACAGAUACACAUAUAUAUGUGUACAUGUAUAUAUGUUUAUUCAUGUAUGUGCAUAAUACAGUUUUUACUCUACCCUCACUUUUCAGUCAUUAAUAAUAUAAAAUGGGUACUUAUUUUUUAAUUAUGCUUUUAAAUUCUAUUAUUCUUUUUCAAGAACAAUAUUGUUAUUGUAAGCUGGAUCCUUACCUCUUACACCUUGACUUUACUAGUUUUUAGAUCCUUUUUUUGCUUUGUGUUUUGGUCAGUUGAGGAUGCCUUACAUUAUUUCUUCUAAAAGAUAUUGGUAUUUUGUAAGAAGUUGCAUGCCUGACUAUGUCUCUUAUUGUCUUCAUGAACGAAAAAUAACUUUGAAAUCCUCAGACUACAGAUUUUUGUAUGACUACAGAUUUUUUAAUGACCCCAUCGCUGUCAUUCUCAACCUUGAGUGCACAUUGUCAUUUCCUGGGAGCUUUAAAAAUACUGAUCCCUGGGUCCCAUUCCCAGCAAUUCUGAUUUAAUUGAUCUGUGAUGUGGCCUGGAUAUCAGGAUUAAAAAUGAAAUAAAAUAAAAACAAUAAAAAAUA